rnacentral:rRNA from 1 species
UACGGAGGGUGCAAGCGUUAUCCGGAUUCACUGGGUUUAAAGGGUGCGUAGGUGGGCAAGUAAGUCAGUGGUGAAAUCUCCGGGCUUAACCCGGAAACUGCCAUUGAUACUAUCAGUCUUGAAUACCGUGGAGGUAAGCGGAAUAUGUCAUGUAGCGGUGAAAUGCUUAGAUAUGACAUAGAACACCAAUUGCGAAGGCAGCUUACUACCCGAAUAUUGACACUGAGGCACGAAAGCGUGGGGAUCAAACAGG